rnacentral:lncRNA from 1 species
AUAACAAGUUCUGAAAUUGAGGCAGUAAAUAAUAGCCUACCAACUCAAAAAGCCCAGGACCAGAUGGAUUCACACCUGAAUUCUCCCAGAGGUGCAAAGAGGAGUUGGAACAAUUCCUUCUGAAAAUUCUUCAAAUAAUAGAAAAAGAGGGACUCCUCCCUAACAUAUUUUAUGAGGCCAGCAUUAUCGAGCUAUUUAUGACAAACCCAUAGCCAAUAUCAUACAGAAUGGGCAAAGGCUGGAAGCGUUCCCUUUGAAAACUGGCACAAGACAAGAAUGCCCUCUCUCACCACUCCUAUUCAACAUAGUAUUGGAAGUUCUGGCCACAGUAACCAGGCAAGAGAAGGAAAUGAAGAGUAUUCAAAUAGGAAGAGAAGAAGUCAAAUUGUCUCUGCAGAUGACAUGAUUGUAUAUUUAGAAAACCCCAUCAUCUCAGCCCCAAAACUUAAGCUGAUAAGCAACUUCAGCAAAGUCUCAGAAUACAAAAUCAAUGUGCAAAAAUCACAAGCAUUCCUAUUCAUAACAAUAGACAAACAGAGAGCCAAAUCAUGAAUGAACUCCCAUUCACAAUUGCUACAAAGAAAAUAAAAUACCUAAGAAUACAACUUACAAGGGACGUGAAGGAGCUCUUCAAGGAGAACUACAAACCA